AGUGAACGCUGGCGGUAGGCCUAACACAUGCAAGUCGAACGGCAGCACAGCAAGAGCUUGCUCUUACGGGUGGCGAGUGGCGGACGGGUGGGGAAUACAUCGGAAUCUACUUUUUCGUGGGGGAUAACGUAGGGAAACUUACGCUAAUACCGCAUAAGACCUACGGGUGAAAGCAGGGGAUCUUCGGACCUUGCGCGAUUGAAUGAGCCGAUGUCGGAUUAGCUAGUUGGCGGGGUAAAGGCCCACCAAGGCGACGAUCCGUAGCUGGUCUGAGAGGAUGACCAGCCACACUGGAACUGAGACACGGUCCAGACUCCUACGGGAGGCAGCAGUGGGGAAUAUUGGACAAUGGGCGCAAGCCUGAUCCAGCCAUACCGCGUGGGUGAAGAAGGCCUUCGGGUUGUAAAGCCCUUUUGUUGGGAAAGAAAAGCAGCAGGUUAAUACCCCGCUGUUCUGACGGUACCCAAAGAAUAAGCACCGGCUAACUUCGUG
rnacentral:rRNA from 1 species